rnacentral:lncRNA from 1 species
AGCACUGGAUGGGUAAGCUUCUAAAAGGAGAAGAGACAAUCUGCACACAACAUUGGCAUAUCCAGGGCUCUACUGUAUUGGAAGCAUCAAGUAGUUAGAAGAGUCCAGCAGGCACAGCCAGGAGAAGUGGCAGGAUCAUCUUGCUGGUUGGUUUUACACAUCCCCCUCCUUCUCCAGGUAAAACCAAUCAGCAAGGGGAGAAGGGUUGGGGUGAGAGGAGAGGAAACAAAAUGACUGUCACUGUAAGGUAACUGACUAGCCUUGUUUGGGGACACAUGGGAGAGACACCCUGCGGACCUUUAGAAAUACCUGGGUUUGGAAGGGUCCUUGCAGAAUCCUGAGAUCCUGUAGUAGGUGGGAGUGAGAGCCAGUGAAACCAGGUGAUUUCUUGCAUUCUUCUCCUUAGUAUAGUUUUACUCAUGGAGGGUAUGACCAAGCAAACAGACCUCUUAACUGUUUCUCUUUUAAAGGACAGAAGGAGGUCUGCCCCACCAAGGGCUGGUUCCCUGAAUUCUUUGGAACAGCUGUAGCAAAACUGGAAUGUGCUACAGCUCUUUGGAGGCUGCAGACCCACUGAAAACGUCACUGAAGAUAUUGCCGGGGCCACUGAUGACUUUAUAACUUCACCAAAGGAAUUAACCUCUAGUUAUUAGUAAGGAGGUUUUGUAUACCAGUGAAACUACUGACAUCACCUGGUCUGAAGGACCCCAUGAAGAGAUGACUCACCAAAGAAUGCAGUUUCCACAUCCUGAUGAUUUCAUCCCCAUUACCUGACAAAACAAUGACCCCAAUUUCCCAGCCCCUCACCCUCCAUGACCCCCUGAAAAACGUCAGCUAGAAACUUCUCGGAGAGAUGGAUUUAAGGGUCUCCUCCCAUCCCCUUGCUUGGUGCCCUGUGAUCAUUACACUCUUUCUCUGCUGCAAACCCUGCUAUCUCUGUACCUGUCUGUCACUGCACAGCAGGCAUAUGAAUCUGUUGGUCCUAUAACAUCGCAACGUAACAUUCCCAUGUGGAGGGGGAUUACACUCCAUGUUCUUAUCACAGCAAAACAUAUGUCACACGUAGCAAUCUAUGUAAGUGUUUGGAAUCAUUUCAGAGCUACAUAACAGGCACCAUUGUGAAAUGCAGGAAACUCUGAAUUUCCAGUUUUGAAAAAAUUGUAUUGGAGCUCUGUCUCUGCUACCCACUAA